rnacentral:lncRNA from 1 species
CAUGCUAACCAUACGGCAUAAAAAAAGACUGGAAAGAAGUAUUUCAGAAUUGCUUUUCAAGUGACUCGCUUUACAGAAUCAGACUGUUUAAAAAAAAAUAGUUGUGAGAACUGGUUUUCAGCUAACACUAAGCAUGAAGUAAUUUUCCUGAGGAAAAGUGAAAAACUUUGUAUCUGAUGCAUCAUACCCGUGGCAAGGUAGGACAUGCAGUUUUCUAUUUUUACAAUCUAUUAUUUGGACAUUUGUAUCUUUAACAAUUCUUUCUAUAGUGCUCGUUCUAUAUGGAGACAAGAGUGAAUUUUUGGACCCUGCUGCAAGAAUAUUUUAAAGGGCUUUUAGAGACACGACAGAUGUAUAGAACAGCAAUACAAAUAUAUUUCUUACUGACUUAAUAUGUAAAUGAAGCAGAACGCCCCAAGUGAUGAAAGGCUUUUAAAAUGGGGAUACCCUUUUCUCUUUCCUACACUUAACAUACCCAUAUCAUAAUCUGGCCAAGGUGAGCUACUCGUCGCUUCCUGAAACCAGUCAGUAGAGUUUCAUGCAUUGCUUAGAGAGUGGUGUUAAAAAAAUAAAGAAAAAUUGAAAAAACACUCAUCUACGGGAUAAGCUCAGCACUCUAACUGAUCUGCCAUACAGCAGGCUACUGCACUGCCAGUCUGCAGCCAGAUGGGCUCCAGUAGGGUUUUUAAGUAAACUUGUAUGAAUGCCUUUCUCCCACCACCAGAAACUGUUUAACCUGGGCUGUUAAACUGAUGUGGCCAGAAAUAAGUAUGUCUAAUUGUCAAAACUCUGCGGCCCACAUGACAGUUUCACCAUGAUUAAACUGCAGAAAGCUAAAUUGGAUGAUUCAAGACCCAAAUGUGUGUAUACGUACACAAGUAAGUUAGGGCUGUAUCUCUGAUGUUUUGUCCUUCCUUUCAUUACACCUGGUUACAUUACAGUUCAAUUCUCAGGUGUUGCAGAAAAUCUACCUCUUUGGACUGUAGAUGGAAAUAACUGUGAAAAAAGUGAUGCAGAAAUCUAGUUUGUGCUAAACACACUGCUUUAUUUUUACAACCCAUGUCUGCUUUCAUGAGGAAAAAUGAUAAAUGAACAGGCAGUCUUUGUUUUGCUUUUCAAGAACAUUUUGUAGAGAUUUUUCACUAAUGUGAAUCUGAAAUUUUAUCUACUCGAUUCUGUAUAGAUUAAGUAAAUAAGUAUGCUUAAUA